UAACUUAAGAGUUUGAUCCUAGCUCAGGAUGAACGCUGGCGGCGUGGAUAAGGCAUGCAAGUCGAGUGGGUUUAGACCCACGGCGAACGAGGUAGUAACACGUGGGAACGUACCCUAAAGUCGGGCAUAACCAGUCGAAAGAUUGGAUAAUUCUCGAUAUCUCUCCGGAGGAAAGAUUUAUCGCUUUAGGAACGGCCUGCGGGAUAUCAGCUAGUUGGUAAGGUAAUGGCUUACCAAGGCUAUGACGUCUAGGGGAGGUGAGAGCCUGACCCCCACCGAUGGUACUGCGACACGGACCAUACACCUACGGGUGGCUGCAGUCGAGAAUCUUCCACAAUGGACGAAAGUC
rnacentral:ncRNA from 1 species